AUUGCUUCUUGGCCUUUUGACUACGAUCAAGUGUAGUAUCUCUUCUUAUCAGUUUAAUAUCUGAUAUGUCCUCUAACUGACGACAGUAAUUAAAUGGAUUUUUGGAGCCAGGAGAUGGAAUAGGAACAUGCUCUGUCCACUCCACGCAUUGAGCUGACAUUGCAGUACCUCCAGGAAUGGUACACACACA
rnacentral:snRNA from 1 species